rnacentral:rRNA from 1 species
AACGAACGUUAGCGGCGCGCUUAACACAUGCAAGUCGAGCGAGAAAGAGGGCAACCUCCAGUAAAGCGGCGCACGGGUGAGUAACACGUAGGUAACCUGCCCCCAGGUGGUGGAUAACCUUCCGAAAGGAGGGCUAAUACAGCAUGAGACCACGACUUCGAAAGAGGUUGAGGUGAAAGAUGGCCUCUGUUCACAAGCUAUCGCCAGGGGAUGAGCCUGCGGCCCAUCAGGUAGUUGGCGGGGUAAUGGCCACCAAGCCGAAGACGGGUAGCUGGUCUGAGAGGAUGAUCAGCCACACUGGAACUGAGACACGGUCCAGACUCCUACGGGAGGCAGCAGUGGGGAAUCUUGCGCAAUGGGCGAAAGCCUGACGCAGCGACGCCGCGUGAGUGAUGAAGGCCUUCGGUGUAAGCUCUGUGGGAGGAGACGAAUAAGUGGGGUCGGAACAAGGCUCCGAUGAUGACGGUAUC